rnacentral:rRNA from 1 species
GACGAACGCUGGCGGCGUGCCUAAUACAUGCAAGUCGAGCGCAGGAAGCUGACGGAACUCUUCGGAGGGAAGGCAGUGGAAUGAGCGGCGGACGGGUGAGUAACACGUAAGGAACCUGCCUCAAGGAUUGGGAUAACUCCGAGAAAUCGGAGCUAAUACCGGAUAGUUCAACGGACCGCAUGGUCCGCUAAUGAAAGGCGCUUCGGCGUCACCUUGAGAUGGCCUUGCGGUGCAUUAGCUAGUUGGUGGGGUAACGGCCUACCAAGGCGACGAUGCAUAGCCGACCUGAGAGGGUGAUCGGCCACACUGGGACUGAGACACGGCCCAGACUCCUACGGGAGGCAGCAGUAGGGAAUCUUCCACAAUGGACGAAAGUCUGAUGGAGCAACGCCGCGUGAGUGAUGAAGGUUUUCGGAUCGUAAAACUCUGUUGUAAGGGAAGAACACGUACGAGAGGGAAUGCUCGUACCUUGACGGUACCUACGAGAAAGCCACGGCUAACUACGUGCCAGCAGCCGCGGUAA